rnacentral:rRNA from 1 species
GUGCCAGCCGCCGCGGUAAUACCGGCAGCCCGAGUGAUGGCCGAUCUUAUUGGGCCUAAAGCGUCCGUAGCUGGCUGCGCAAGUCCGUCGGGAAAUCCACUCGCCCAACGAGUGGGCGUCCGACGGAAACUGCACAGCUUGGGACCGGAAGGCUCGAAGGGUACGUUCGGGGUAGGAGUGAAAUCCCGUAAUCCCGGACGGACUACCGAUGGCGAAAGCACUCGGAGAAGACGGAUGCGACAGUGAGGGACGAAAGCUCGGGUCUCCAACCGGAUUAGAUACCCGGGUAGUCC